rnacentral:tRNA from 1 species
UGAGACUCUAGUAAAUCAUUACAUGGCUCUGUCAGUGCCAAAUAACAGGUUGCACCCCUGUGAGACUCC